AUUAGACAGCAGGGCCGCGUCGAAAUCGGUAAUAAUCUCCCCCAGCAUUUCGCGCUCAUCGCCUAACGCGCGUGAC
rnacentral:tRNA from 1 species